CCUACGGGAGGCAGCAGUGGGGAAUAUUGGACAAUGGGGGCAACCCUGAUCCAGCCAUGCCGCGUGUGUGAAGAAGGCCCUCGGGUUGUAAAGCACUUUCAGUGAGGAAGAACGCCUGGUGGUUAAUACCCAUCAGGAAAGACAUCACUCACAGAAGAAGCACCGGCUAACUCCGUGCCAGCAGCCGCGGUAAUACGGAGGGUGCGAGCGUUAAUCGGAAUUACUGGGCGUAAAGCGCGCGUAGGUGGCUUGAUAAGCCGGUUGUGAAAGCCCCGGGCUCAACCUGGGAACGGCAUCCGGAACUGUCAAGCUAGAGUGCAGGAGAGGAAGGUAGAAUUCCCGGUGUAGCGGUGAAAUGCGUAGAGAUCGGGAGGAAUACCAGUUGCGAAGGCGGCCUUCUGGACUGACACUGACACUGAGGUGCGAAAGCGUGGGUAGCAAACAGGAUUAGAUACCCCAGUAGUC
rnacentral:rRNA from 1 species